rnacentral:ncRNA from 2 species
AUAAAACACGAGGGGUGCCCCAUGUGGGCUGAGAUGUUUUUGACAAACCCUUUGAACCUGUAAGUUCACACUUGCGUAGGAACGUGUUAAUGAACGGCG